UGAGACACACCCCUUUCUCUGCUCAGGCAGCAGGAGCGGUUUGGGCAUCCAUACCCUGGCAGUUGGAUUGUGGACCACCUUGUGUCUCUGAGUCUCCAUUUCCUCAACUGUGAAUGGGAUGCUUAUUUGGAGGGUGAGAUCAAAGUUAAUGUAGGGUACGAGACCCGGAACAAAGGAGCCCGGCUGAGAUGCCACCAAAGAAGUGAUGUGGACACAGGAGGCUCCUUAAAAGUCAGGGACGCUGGAGCCAGGAGGCAGGUAAUGCCAGGGAGUCAGGGGCCGGUGGCAGCCUCCAGCUCUCCGUCCGGGUCUCCUUCCCUCCUAGAGGAGCUGGGACGAGGGGACAAAGGCACUCCUCGGUGUCCCAUGCAGCUGUUCUCUGGGAAAGCCAUGCUGACUUCUAAAUGACCAGAGCGGGUGUGGGGCAGCCUGGUGGGAGGGGUGGUGGGUGCAGGUCAGGGAGAGGCCUUGGGAAGGGCUGACGUGGGGGUGUCCUGGACGAGGCCAGCCCUGGGGGAUCCCUGGCUGAGCUAGUGGACAGCGUUUCUGUACGUUUGCUCACUUGGAUUAGGGCAGACCACCCGGCUUCUAGAAAGUUUCCCUGCCUUUGGGUGGCCAAGCAGGGUUGGGUCAGGAAGCUCCAGGGGCCUCUAGAGCUGGGCACCUUCUGCCCAUUGUGGUGCUUCUCCAACUGGCAGCCUUCCCAGGGCUCUUCCCGAUGCUCGGCCCAAGAGCGCCUCAGGCCACACGGCAGCGUGGGGACCUUCCUUCCUGUUCUCCUUUCACAACUGUCAGACCCGCAUCGUGGGCCCAUCCGAAGGCCCUCCCUGCCUUCUUCCCCUCCUCCUUUAUCCUUCACAGGGAGUUCUCCAGUAAAUCUCUCCUACAUCUCAUCCCUUCUUGGCGUCUGUCACUCUGAGGACCUGAUGACGCACCCUCACUUUUGUCUUGGCGCCCCCCCCCCCCGCCCCCACGAGAGCAACUGCUUUGUCCCCUCUUUCUGGUGACGGUCAGCUUUCUCUUGGCUCUGGAAAAAUGACUGCCUGUCUCCAACUUCAUCUGUUCCAUUUCCAGCCGGAUUCCACUGUCUGUCUCUUGUACUGCUCUCCCGUCUCACGUGAGGAGCCACGGGUCCUGUUGACAGGGGGCCGGGAAAUCAUGGCUCAGUCUUUGAGGGUAGAGGGGUGGAGGAGAAAGAAGUUGGUACCCCUAAAUCUGCAUAGGGCGGUGCAAACUUCUGGUUAUUUUCUAAAUAAGAGGGCUGCCCAUUUCAAAGUUUUUGGAUACGCCCCCUCCAGUGUGUCCCCUGGAAAUGUCCUACCUGCAUUCCCAAGGAGCAGGUGACGAGCCUACUGUUCCUGCUCUCGUCAGCACUUCCCGUUGCAUUUUUUAAAAGUUCUCGCCAGUUUGGUAGCUCAAAAUACAGCAUCUCAUACUGGUUUAAUUUUAUAUUCCUUUUAAAUUGAUAGUACGCGUGAACUGUAGUUCAUGGAUAUUGGACACUUACGUUCUCUUUUCCGAAUGGUCCGUGUCUUUCGCCGACUUUCCUUUGCGGUGUUGGUCUCUUUCUUCCUGAUUUGUAAAGAUGGUGACCCUUCAUUUCCCAUAUAUGCUGCAUUAUUUCUAGCUUUCAAAUAUCAUCAGACGCACACGUUCCCUUAGAGGGAACGUCCUCUCCAUUCUGCUGUGGCCUCCGUCUACACUGCAGCCAGUCCGUCCUCAGAUCAAUAACCUUUGCUUAUUUUAUUCUGUCCUGUAGGAGAGUAUUUACUUUGUCAGGCAUUGUAGUUGGCUUUGUUGACGGUCAUCAUCCCAUUCAGCGCUCCAACAAUACCACAAGGUGGUGGUAUGACCCGCAUUUUAUGGAUCGGGAUACGGAGGCCGGAGGGCAUCUGAUUCCAGGCCUUUGCUUAUUUCACAGACCCACCAGAGCAUUUAGAUUGAUGCCAAUCACUAACCCAGAGCCUGGAGACCCAAAGAAACUGCCUUUCCUAAGAACCUCCCUGAGUCUGUGGGUGCCUAUCCAGACCCUCACUUAAGGAGCCUUCCUGCUUUCUUCACGGAGAGUUCCAGGGCUUCAGAGGCUUGAAGCUGCGUGUAAAAGUGUGUUUAUACCGUUUUCUUGGGAGAGGAUCCAGAGGUGACAUCAGGCUCUCAAACGCAAAAACGGUGAAACCCAAAAAGGAGGGGGGGCUCCAUUUUGUGUUCUCUCCAGUGGUUCCCCAACUUUUUUUCUUACCUCAGAGGCAUAUAGAAUUCUCAAAAGAAUAUGAGGAUGUAAAAUUCUGCAAAGUAAGCCCAUUAAAAAGAAACUAACCACUAUCACAACACUCCCAUAUCAUAAAAGGACAUUUUAACCACCCCCCCUCCCAACCAAAUCAAGGACAAAUUCUUGGGAGGGGGGUAGUGACAGGCCUUGAAGUAGAUAAAGGGGCUGUAACACACUGUC